CAGUCGCCGCGGUAAUACGUAGGGUGCAAGCGUUAAUCGGAAUUACUGGGCGUAAAGCGUGCGCAGGCGGUUUUGUAAGACAGAGGUGAAAUCCCCGGGCUCAACCUGGGAACUGCCUUUGUGACUGCAAGGCUAGAGUACGGCAGAGGGGGAUGGAAUUCCGCGUGUAGCAGUGAAAUGCGUAGAUAUGCGGAGGAACACCGAUGGCGAAGGCAAUCCCCUGGGCCUGUACUGACGCUCAUGCACGAAAGCGUGGGGAGCAAACAGGAUUAGAUCCCCAGUAGUCCCUGUCUCUUAUACA
rnacentral:rRNA from 1 species